rnacentral:rRNA from 1 species
UACGUAGGGUGCGAGCGUUGUCCGGAAUUAUUGGGCGUAAAGAGCUCGUAGGCGGUUUGUCGCGUCGACUGUGAAACCUACAGCUUAACUGUGGGCUUGCAGUCGAUACGGCAGACUUGAGUUCGGUAGGGGAGACUGGAAUUCCUGGUGUAGCGGUGAAAUGCGCAGAUAUCAGGAGGAACACCGGUGGCGAAGGCGGGUCUCUGGGCCGAUACUGACGCUGAGGAGCGAAAGCGUGGGGAGCGAACAGG